AGAUCCCCAGCGGUGAGCACUGGGAAGCUCUUAAUGGGAACAUCAGUAGGAACAAGAGUAAAGGCAGCCAUUUCCCUGUGUUCCUUGUGUGUUUGGUGUAUCUUAGGUCUGCUCAUGGCGCUAGGAUCCAGUAACUCUUCCUGUUAGAAUGUGUUGCUUGGAUGUGAAGAGAUGCUAUUGAUCUGACAAUGGAGGUUGCAGAUGAAGGAGAAAAGGUUGGAAUUAAGCCGACAGCACUCAGCUGCUGUAAGGGGACUGACUUCGUUUGAUGGGCUCUGUCAUCCUCAGGAGGAAACCUUCCUCUACAAAAUGGUGAAAUGGUGCCCAUGUGGAAACAUUCUGAUUGUGCGUGUGCCUGGAGCCCGGCGUUGUUGCAGAGGAGGAGAGUGGCAUAGGAUGGCUCCAAAGAAAAGAGGGCUGCGUCAAAAAGAAAACCUCCUGCCAUGUCAGCUUGCCCAGACCUUUCUGUGAGACAGCCUUUCCCAGCUACGUUAAGGGCUGCUUCUUGUGGACUGGAAGUAUUGCCAAAGAGUGAGUGAUCCUUAUUAAUAUGCAUCUCCAAAAUCAACGGGCAGUUUUGCACAGAUCCUCUAACACGUAUCUUUGGAUUUUGAGACGUUUGAGAGCUAUUUAUUCCCUUUCACACCAAUAUCAGCCAUAGUGCGAGAUGUCUUGAGCUGAUUAAAAGUCUCUUUAAUCAAAUACUGGCAGGGGAAGUGUUCAAAACAUUAGAAGAAUGAUUUUGACAAGCUGCCCCUGCACUGUGAGUGACUUCAUCCAGAGGUUGGCCUGGCAGGCUGGCGUGUGAUACAAAGCCUCCACUCACCUUGAUUUCCAAAGCUGCCAACAAACUGCAGUGAUGAUUCUGAGAGCCAGUAGGACACUGUAGCCUUUGUUCAGUUCUUUUCUGUGAGAUACUGCCCCCCAAAAAACCAUUGUUACAGGCAAAAUCCAUCACUCCAUUCAUCAACCCUUACCUACGCUUCAAAUUCCUAUAUCCCAAAUCCAUGGGAACGAUUUUGAACGUGAAUGUAGGCUGGAAAUCAUUGCUGUGCAGAUUGUCUAGAGGCUUUUUUUCCCCUGUUCUAUGGCUGAACUAGACUUCAAAAGGAUAAAUAAAAUCCAUUCUGGAAGACCCCCCCCUGCGAGG
rnacentral:lncRNA from 1 species